rnacentral:snRNA from 1 species
ACCAGCUCGAAGAAGCUUAGC